UAGAUUUGUGAAGCCGACUCAAUGCAUUAGAGAUGAUACUCCUCCCCCCCCCCCCGCAGGUGCGGCUCCUCCCCCCCCUGCAGGUGCGGCUCCCCGCAGCUCCUCCCCGCAGCUCCUCCCCGCCACUUCUCUGCGGCACUUCUCUGCGGGCACCGCGCUCCACGCCCGCACCGAGAACGCCCUCUCCUUCAGGAACCCGGACCGCCGUUGAAACGGUGCACUGGCGGGUUUUACCUACUCCUGGCUUUGCAGCGAGAAUCCAAAAUGUCACAGGAUCUCCCUGGCAGACAGCACAGUGAAGUACAUGCUCACUAAAGGAGGCUGCAGAGAAGAACCCAGAACCUGACAGAGGCUCUUUACUAGCAUAUUUUUAAUGGUGUUAGCACAUCCUGUAAGUAAAAUUCCUAAUAAUCUCAGGGACUGAAUUUGUAAAAUUUGUUCAUGACUGGUAGUGGUAUAGAAUGAAUAGAUACCAAUCUUCUUGUGAUAGUCAUGUUACUUCCUGAAGGAUAGACUUUUUUUUUUUUUUUUUUACUCCUUCUAGAAGCUUUACUAUGCUUCCCAGCUUGCUACCCUGUUAAUAAUUGGUUUCUUUCUCCUUACUUCUGUCUUUUUCUUUCUUACUGGAUGUCUAAAGAACAGUAUUAGUGUCUGUAAGUAUGAAAAACUGCAGAGUAAACUAUUAAACGUUACAAAAAGUGGACUAUUCAUGUUUUAUUGGUCAUAUGUUUGCAUCUGAAUUUGAUCAUGGGGACAGAAAGUUGAACUUUCUUGCCUGUCUAGUGGGUCUCCUCAUUGAUAAGUGCUUAUAUGAAGCUUGCUAUUAAGAAAUGGUUGCUACCUGUCAGUGGCCAAUGCUACAAAUGAACUGACCACUAAUGAUGGGUUACCCAAUGCUUGUCCCCUGUAUUUAGAGAGGCUUGAGAAUUCUUAUUGCCUAUUUUUUUUUAAGAUUUCAUUUAUUUUAAAGACUUGAGAGAGUGUCUAGACAGAGUGUGCACACACAGAUGCAAACAUGAUGGGAAAGGGCAGAGGGAGAGAAUCUUUAAGCAAACUUAACACUAAGUGUGGAGCCCAGCGCAGGACUUGAUCUCACACUUCAUGAGAUCAUGACCUGAGCC
rnacentral:lncRNA from 12 species